CUUUUAAAUUAGAAAAAAAAAAAAAAAUUAGUUUGUCAUAACUGCAUAACGAGGAAGAUUACUGAAGAGGGGUUACAUAGUUGUCCAGUAUGCAAUGCUCAUCUUGGUUCUGCUCCACUUCAAAGGCUCAGGAUGGACCAUCGUUGGCAAAGCAUGAUGAACAAUUUCAACAAUGAAGGAAGAAGAGAACAACAUGCAGGAAGUGGACUAAAUGUGGAGAUUACUCUGCAAGGACGAAGAUUGCUACCUAGUUUGCAAAUAAGUCGAUUGAUCGAACUGUGGCUGCAAACGUUUUCUACCUCAGAAAGGAAAACGGCAAUUGUCGAUCGGUUCGUCCGCACAGGAGUUUGUCCUGCCUCUUACAUAUGCUCGUAAUUAACCUGCUUUUUAAUUUCUCCUUAAAUAAAUUAUGACUAUUAGAAUCUUAAUUUCGAUUAUUGUUAAACUAGCCUUUUCUGCACAAUUAUCGUACUUUUUAAGACCUUAAUUAUUUAAUUAGCAGAUUUGCUACCAAACCUUGGUUUAAUUUCUAUAAUAUACUUUAUUGUGACA